rnacentral:lncRNA from 12 species
GUCCCCGCCGGCGCGGGGGCGGGCGGCUCCGCGGCUCCCCGCCCCCGGCCCGCCCCUCCGCGGCGCCAUUUUGCAGGCGGCUGUCGCGGGGACCGGAGGCGGCGGCGGCGGCGGGCACUGCGGCGCCGAGGCGCGGCGGCAGGACGGGAGCCCAGCGGGCUGCAGCCAGCUAGGUCUUGACUCUGCUAACCGGGACCCCCCUGUGGUUUCAAGCUUGGACCUCAACAGCACCAGGAAAUGUAGCUCAGCGGAUUGUAACGGAAAGCAUAUGGACAGGUCCACGGCCCAGCAUUUAGGUGCGUCUGAAACCCAGCCUUUUUUGUUCUGCAUUUUGUGAUGCAGUUGUGCUGACAGCCUUUUAGUGUUAGAAUUCAUUUGUGCUUGACCUUGCCCUUUGCACAUGUCACGAACAGUCUAAAUGCAAUCCUGGGAAUAAUUAAUUGUUCCAUUAAUGCUAAUGAUAAGGUAAUGGACUGCUUUAGGCCAAAUUCCUUGUAAGCAGAUUACAGUAGAAAAUAGGCAAAGUCUUGCCACUUAGGGGUAGUGAUAAGGUAGGAAGUAAAUAUUUUCCUUUUCCUUUUUAUGCUUUUGACAUUAUCAGUAAAAAUUUGAGUACCUAUUGCCAGUUGAGGCUCCUUGUCUGGGUCCCAGGUCUGAACCCUGGGGGUUAAGAUUAAAGACCUCUUCCCUCUUUUUCAAGCAUUCUGCAGUUUAAGUAGUAAGAUUAUUACAUUGCAUUCCUCCCUUCCCCCAUCCCAAAGCUUGAGGGGCAUUUUGGUUAUUUUAUUUUAUUUUUUAUUUUUUUAAAAGGUGGGUAGGUAGGUAAUCCUUUAUUAUUAUUAAUAUUUUUUAAAGAUUUUACUUAUUCAUAGAGAGAGGGGGGGGGGCAGAGACACAGGCAGAGGGAGAAGCAGGCUCCAUGCAGGGAGCCCAAUGUGGGACUCGAUUCCGGGUCUCCAGGAUCACACCCUAGGCUGCAGGCAGCGCUAAACCGCCGCACCACCGGGGCUGCCCAUUUUGGUUAUUUUAAAUUUUUUGCUGUUACAAAUAAUACUGCAGUGAAAUUUCUUAUACUUAUUUUAGGGAGAAUACCCAUAAGUAAAUUUCUAGCAAUAAAAUUGUUGGGUACAGUGCUUAAGAUUUUUUU